CAAUAAUACAUAUGACUGCUGUGUGUAUAUAUAAAUAUCUACAGUCAAAAGAAUCUUGGGGAAAAAUGCUUCAUCUCCUUUUGAUGAGAGUAAAUAUUGGAAGAAUAUAUUAUUUAUCCAAAGCGAUGCUUAUACUUUCUAAAAAAAUUAUGUUAUUAUAUUUGCAUUUGUACUGGCAUAAGAACUGGUAUAUAUUUUUGUCUCCCCAAGGUUGAGGAGGAGUUGGGCAAGGAAUCAUAAAAUGGAAAAAUAUUUCUCUAGAUCAGCAGGCUGUUUAUGGAUGAUGUUAACAGCAUGAAUCCAAGUUUUGUUUGUUUCAAGUACAUGUUUAACUAACACUUUAUUCUCAUCUGUUUUGAGCCAUUUUUAUACUGCACAAGGAACCCACAAAACUCUUCAAAUAUGCCACACAGUCCCCAUUGGUGGUGCUUCACUGAUUUUGGCCUAAGGCUAACAUCGGCUCCUCCUUUCUGCAUGCUCCCACUAACGACUUAGCAUUCUUGACCCUCUGUAUUGCCUGCAUCCUUCCCUGCUGCCUUGUCAGGAUGAUUAGCUCCUAGAAGUAAGAGGCUGUCUCCUGUUCAGCAUUGUUUCUUUACCAUCCAACAUACAUACUUUAAAUUAAGUGAGUGCUCCAUAAAUAAAGUCAAUAGUACCACAUGUCUUAUGUUGAAUAAGUAGCCUUAUUGGAGGUCUUCUUUUGAAAAACCCUGUGUUGUAGUUGCUACGGCUGCCAUAACAAAGGACCAUAGAAAAUAAAUAAAGAAUUUAUUUUCUCACAGUUUCAGAGGCUGGAAGUCCAAGAUCAAAUUGUUGGCAGUGUUGUUUCUUCUGAGACCUCUUUCAUUUGCUGGCAGAUGGCCAUCUUCACUGUGUCCUCAUAUGGUCUUUCUUCUGUGUGUGUGCACUCCAGGCUGUCUGUGUGUUCAGUUUUCUCUUCUUAUAAGGACACUAGUCAGCAGGGCUGGAUUUCAGACUUGCACAGGGCCUGUAGAUACAUAUAUCUAUCUUCAGUCUAAGUUGGUUAGCUCCUGCUCUCCUUGCAACCCUCAGAUGACAACUGACUUUGUCAAGGAGGCGUCUCUGACCUUUAUAACAAAUCAGUUUUGAUUCAAACUUGUGAUAACACUGGAUAAUGAGCCUCUCUUGUGAACAAUUAUCAAAGGUAUGAUUUCACAUUUGUUCAUGUGGUUCUUUGAUUAAAAUCCACAACCUUUAUGUAAUUGCCCAGUGGGUUCUUUUUGCUUGCUGCACAGAUAAAACCAAUUCACUGAGACAGUGAUAUUACAGUAGAGAAAGAGUUUAAUAAACACAGAGCUGGCCAGAGAGAAGAACAAGAGUUUAUUACUCAAAUCAGCUUCCUCUAGAACUUAGAGGCUAGGGUUUUUGUGAAUGUAAUUUGGAGGGCAAGGAACUA
rnacentral:lncRNA from 1 species